AAAGCUCUCUCAAGAAACAUAAUGAACAAAUGUUAUCCCAGUGCCUAAGUAAACAAGAAAAUAAAUAAAUCAAUAACUUUUAUUUAGUGAGUAAAUAGAAAAAAAUGUUGCAACUUGGAAGAAAGUACAUUUGUAAUUAUUUUUUGCAUUAAUGAGCAAUUUGGAAAUUACAAUUUCUGAAAGUGAUGCAGGAACACGAAGCUGCUUUUAAUGCCUUUCAUUUCGUCUACAAUCUCUUUGUCCUUCACACUGACAUUUAUCUCCGACCACAGUCUCUGCCAGAGAACCCUCCAAGAGGCAUACUUACGGAAAUUCCAAAGAGAUGAAAGAAAAUUCAGCAGAAUUGAGUGCAGAUAUUAGAUUGAAUGAAGCAUCAAAAAUCAGUAAUUUUCGUUGGCUUCCUACUA